GGCCUUAUAGCUCAAUGGUUAGAGCGUCUGCCCGGUUACUCAGAAGGUUACGUGUUUCAAUUCCCGUUAGGGCUC